AGGCUUCACAAUCCGCUGAGGCCGCCCUAUAUCGCUCUUUGCCGGUUUCGACCGGCUAUGGUGAUAAAUUGCGGCGUGCAAUAGGCACAGCGGACCCGGGGGCGGUACCCGGCGGCUCCACCACUCCUCUCGUUUCGGCUUCGGUCGAGCGGGAGAAAUGACGGGGCCGAACUAGGAUCGACGUGUGUUCAAAAGCGCUGUUUUUGCCCGGGCUGAGUAACCCGUUCAAGGCUCAAAACCCAAUAAGUGCCAACGAUAACGAAGCACUUGCUCUCGCGGCGUAAUUCUAGGGGCUAACGCCCUGAAGUUACAAAGUUAGAACACGGUCGGGCCCACCGGGUAACAGAAGGGAUUCCAGCGGUACGGAGCGCACCGGGCAACAGAAGCGCUCCACC
rnacentral:tmRNA from 1 species